CCUACGGGAGGCAGCAGUGGGGAAUCUUGCGCAAUGGGCGAAAGCCUGACGCAGCCAUGCCGCGUGAAUGAUGAAGGUCUUAGGAUUGUAAAAUUCUUUCACCGGGGACGAUAAUGACGGUACCCGGAGAAGAAGCCCCGGCUAACUUCGUGCCAGCAGCCGCGGUAAUACGAAGGGGGCUAGCGUUGCUCGGAAUUACUGGGCGUAAAGGGAGCGUAGGCGGAUAGUUUAGUCAGAGGUGAAAGCCCAGGGCUCAACCUUGGAAUUGCCUUUGAUACUGGCUAUCUUGAGUACGGAAGAGGUAUGUGGAACUCCGAGUGUAGAGGUGAAAUUCGUAGAUAUUCGGAAGAACACCAGUGGCGAAGGCGACAUACUGGUCCGUUACUGACGCUGAGGCUCGAAAGCGUGGGGAGCAAACAGGAUUAGAUACCCUGGUAGUCCACGCUGUAAACGAUGAGUGCUAGUUGUCGGCAUGCAUGCAUGUCGGUGACGCAGCUAACGCAUUAAGCACUCCGCCUGGGGAGUACGGUCGCAAGAAUUAAAACUCAAAAUUGAAAUUGACGG
rnacentral:rRNA from 1 species